GCCGCCGUAGUUCAACGGAUAGAACGAGCGCCUCCUAAGCGCUAGAUACAGGUUCGAUUCCUGUCGGGGGCGCCA
rnacentral:tRNA from 2 species